rnacentral:misc_RNA from 1 species
AACGCACGAGACCUGCGGACCUGCGGAGGGAUCAUUACAGGACUCGCAAGACUCCUACAACCCUGUGAACCUACUAUACGAACGUUGCUUCGGCGGGUGCGCCCCGGGGAUUCGUUCCCGCGGCGCGUCAGCCCGCCGGCAGCCUACAAAUUCUGUUUCUUUGCGUUGGCAUCUCGAGAAAAACAAAUAAGUUAAAACUUUCAACAAUGGAUCUCU